UACGUAGGGCGCAAGCGUUGUCCGGAAUUAUUGGGCGUAAAGAGCUCGUAGGCGGCUUGUCACGUCGGAUGUGAAAGCCCGGGGCUUAACUCCGGGUCUGCAUUCGAUACGGGCAGGCUAGAGUUCGGUAGGGGAGAUCGGAAUUCCUGGUGUAGCGGUGAAAUGCGCAGAUAUCAGGAGGAACACCGGUGGCGAAGGCGGAUCUCUGGGCCGAUACUGACGCUGAGGAGCGAAAGCGUGGGGAGCAAACAGG
rnacentral:rRNA from 1 species